UCCGAUUGCGAAGGCAGCUUGCUGGACUGUAACUGACGNUGAGGCACGAAAGCGUGGGGAUCAAACAGGAUUAGAUACCCUGGUANNCCACGCCGUAAACGAUGAAUGCUAGCUGUUAGCGAUAUACUGUUAGCGGCACAGAGAAAUCGUUAAGCAUUCCACCUGGGGAGUACGCCGGCAACGGUGAAACUCAAAGGAAUUGACGGGGGCCCGCACAAGCGGAGGAACAUGUGGUUUAAUUCGAUGAUACGCGAGGAACCUUACCUGGGCUUAAAUUGCAGUGGAAUAACGUGGAAACAUGUUAGCCUUCGGGCCGCUGUGAAGGUGCUGCAUGGUUGUCGUCAGCUCGUGCCGUGAGGUGUCGGCUUAAGUGCCAUAACGAGCGCAACCCUCAUCGAUAGUUACUAACAGGUUAAGCUGAGGACUCUAUCGAGACUGCCGACGUAAGUCGUGAGGAAGGUGGGGAUGACGUCAAAUCAGCACGGCCCUUACGUCCAGGGCUACACACGUGUUACAAUGGGGGGUACAAAGGGCAGCUACCUGGCGACAGGAUGCUAAUCUCAAAAACCUCUCUCAGUUCGGAUUGGAGUCUGCAACCCGACUCCAUGAAGCUGGAUUCGCUAGUAAUCGCGCAUCAGCCACGGCGCGGUGAAUACGUUCCCGGGCCUUGUACACACCGCCCGUCAAGCCAUGGGAGCCGGGGGGACCUGAAGUAUGCAACCGUAAGGAGCGUCCUAGGGUAAAACUGGUGACUGGGGCU
rnacentral:rRNA from 1 species